CGACCAGGCCGGGCCCCUCUGGCAGCCAAGUGGCUGUGAUGUCGGACUGGAAUU
rfam:Afipia sp. Root123D2 contig_4, whole genome shotgun sequence.